UGGUGUGGUCAAUUUUGUUUUACAUUGGUAUAUUAUGAGAGAUAUUUAAUUGAAAGGAGUUUUUUGGGAUUGGGCACAUUACUUUGGACAUAAAAUUCAAGAAAAGGACUUCAAAGAACAUGUCCAUAUUUAUUUCUCUGUCCAAAGACACUCUGUAAUUAUACACUGUCUUGCUCUUCCUUCUUUCUCUGUCUUGCUUCCACACUUUCUCUCUCUACCUUCCACACUUUCUCUCUCCACAUAUCUGGUAAACGGGUGUAAAUAAUCUUUUUGGAGUGAAAAUUUAUCUUCUUUUGCAUUUACUUCAAAAAAUGAUCAAUUUAUAGUAAAAAAUUAGGUAUUUUGACUUUACUGAUUUAGAAUUCCAACUUCUCAAUCGCAUCUUUUGAUUCUGAGAUCAAUCCAGAAGACAAAAUUCAAUUAGUUGUAGUGGGUAUGAUAUUGAUUGUAAAAAAUAUGAAGACAUUAGUAGUAAUUUCAAUUUCAAUUGGGGUUUUCUUGUUUGCUUUAUCAUCACCCUCUUCCGCAAGCAUAAUGAGGGAGGAGGAGUGCAAGGCAUGGCUUGUUCAAUCCAUCCCUACUGACAUGCCUCAUCUCUCACUUGUUCCUGGUGUUCUUUCUACUGCUGAUGUCUUUCGAUGGUUAGCUGGUAAUUCAACUAAAAAACUGGACAUCAUGGCACAGUAUUGGCAAUUGGUUGCUGGUUCUGAUAAUUCUCUUUCAGGGGAUUACGGGUACUCAAAAGAGGAAAUGGAAAGUUUUGGCGCCGAAGAUGGUUCUAGUGUAUAUAAAGCUAUUGAAGACGCUGCUGAUCGCAAUGUCAAGCUCAGGCUUUUGCAGCACUCGGGUGUAUAUCCUGAUUUUACAAAAGAGAUAUCUGACCUUACAAAAGGGAGGCAAAAUGUUGAAAAUGUUACUCUUUUACUAGGAAAAUGGUGGGGAUCUGGUAUAGUCCAUGCAAAAGUAUGGAUAUCAGAUGAUCAAGAUGUAUACAUUGGAUCCGCUAAUAAUGAUUGGAAAUCUCUCACUCAGGUUAAAGAAGUUGGGAUCUAUAUUGCUGAUUGUCCAAAGAUUGCCAAGAAGGUUGAGGUAUAUUAUAACAAUUUGUGGAGACUUGGUUUUCUAAACGCUUCAGCAUAUACGACAAGAACAUGGGAUCAACAAUGGCAAAUUAAUAGAACAGUUCCUUGUUGGUCGCAUUUUGUUGUUUCUAAGGAAAGAUGCAAGUCCCCUCUUCUUCAUGAAUACGUAAAUGUUAAGCACGUAGCUGGAUAUCCUUUACUGUCAGACCCAUAUAUGUUUAAGCUACCAAUUGAGACUCCUGGAUGUAGCAAUAGUUCAACAACUCAACGUUGCUCCAGCUAUCUCUCUUUUGCUCCUCCAGAGCUCUCCUUUGGAACAUUCCAGACAGAUGAGCAAGCAUGGAUGGAUACAAUAAGAUCUGUGGGAGCUGGAUAUAUUGUUAGGAUCAGUACAAUGGAUUGGCUUGGUCAGUCUCAAUUUACAGAACAAACUGUUUACUGGUCUUCUCUUUCAUCAGCUAUAUCUGAGGUAGUCUUCUCCAAAAAGGCAACAGUCAAGCUUCUUGUGGCUAGAUGGGCACAUAUGAUCAACAACACAGAUCAGUAUUUAAAGUCUCUGCUCUACACAAAUGUCCUAUGCCAUUCAUCAACCUAUAACCAUUGCUCAGGCAAAGUGGAAAUCAAAUACUAUGAGGUGCCUGGUUAUAAUUCAACAGGACCAGCCUUUAUCAAUGGAACUAGAACUGGAAACCUUUACCCUGCUUAUACAAGGGUGAAUCAUGGAAAAUAUGCAGUCAGUGAUGUUCGAGCUCACAUUGGAACAAGUAAUCUCGUAUGGGAUUAUUUUUACGCAACAGCUGGGGUCAGUUUUGGCACAUACAAUCCAGCUAUCGUUUCUCAACUGCAACAAAUUUUUGAUGCUGAUUGGAAUUCCCCAUAUGCUUUUCCUGUUCAGCCACUGCAAGUUGGUGAAUCUUUUUCAAGCUGGUAAUAUGUCUCUUGCUGGCUGCUGCUCUUGUUGGAAUGGAGUCUUAAAUCUGAUGAUACAGAUUCGGAGGGACUGUCGCGCGUACAACCCAGCCUUUGUUCUUUUGGGAGGUUCUGAUGCCAUCUCUACUUGCAUAACAUAAGCAAGAAAUUCUCUGAGUAUUUGAAGAAUCCGACGAUAAACACAAGAAUAACAGGAAGCCAGAGAGGAUUAUGAUUACCGUUUCUCAAGGACGAGAAGAAAACAUAGAUGGUAACUCCAACUUAGGC